rnacentral:lncRNA from 1 species
GGGUCCCUGGCUUGCUGAUCUGAUUCCCUUCCUCCACGAUCUUGCUUCAAGUGUUAUCAAGUCUCUUGAUUUAGCAAUCUUCUCUUUUUGUAGAGUAGAAUUUCUUUUUUAGCUAUUGUAUUUGGGUUUUAUUGGUUAUCAAGAUCCUCGUUGAGGGAGCUGGGGUUGUAAGGAUUGGGAUUUGGUGUUGAAUGAGAUUUGGGGUGGUGAUGCAAGUGAUCAUUGUCCAGCAGGUUCUGCUCUGUAUCAUCAGCUUUGCUUCAGCUGUCCAGGAUCUGCAGGUACAAAAGUUUUCUUGCCUUUUUACAUGUUCAACUGUGAUUUUGAGCACUUGGUGCAGCUGCUGAACUUAACGUUUGAUCUGAUGAUAACUGAUGUCUUGGUUUAUCAAGUUUCACUUAGCAAUUGUAAGGUCUCGUAACUAUAUAGAAAGUUUCACAGAUCUGUCCCUUCGUUGGCUCACUGCUAAUAUUGUGCUGUUGCAUUCAGUGAUUCGUCUACAAUGACUAAGCCAGAGCAUGAAUUUAGGAGAGGUAUCCGGCAGAGGCAUGUCAGAUCCGUCAUUUGAGCUAUUGUUCUUCUCUUGAUUUCAAUGUGCAAUUUUUAUGCGGAAUUUUGUAAAAAUUGCACUUGGCGGUCCUUAAUUGCAAGUUCUAGUUCGAUGUUUUCCCGAAUUAAAAUCGUAGGUUUCAGCAUUGUCUCCACAGCUAAAGCUUUCCCAUCUGGGAAUUGCUUGCUAGAUGACGGUUUACCCCAUGAACGGCCAGGCAUGGUUUGCAUAGACGUUUAUGCAAUUGGCAAAUUUUUCCUACGCCAUUUUUCUCUUCAAUUGUACUGGAGCUAAGGAGUGAACAGCUCCAAAUCAACGGGAGAAUUAUCAAA